UACUUAAUAAGUCCAACUAACAUCCAAUAGGUGGUUAAGGCGAUAGACUCGAACCUAUCUGUUGAUUCGUGGUAUCUAUUGGGUUCGCCCGCUCAGGUUCAAAUCCUGAUGAUGUCG